AGCUCAGUUGGUAAGGCGCUUGCCUUAUAAGCAAGAAGACCUGAGUUCAAUGUCUCAG
rnacentral:tRNA from 1 species